AGUGAACGCUGGCGGUAGGCCUAACACAUGCAAGUCGAACGGCAGCACAGUAAGAGCUUGCUCUUACGGGUGGCGAGUGGCGGACGGGUGAGGAAUACAUCGGAAUCUACUUUUUCGUGGGGGAUAACGUAGGGAAACUUACGCUAAUACCGCAUACGACCUACGGGUGAAAGCAGGGGAUCUUCGGACCUUGCGCGAGUGAAUGAGCCGAUGUCGGAUUAGCUAGUUGGCGGGGUAAAGGCCCACCAAGGCGACGAUCCGUAGCUGGUCUGAGAGGAUGAUCAGCCACACUGGAACUGAGACACGGUCCAGACUCCUACGGGAGGCAGCAGUGGGGAAUAUUGGACAAUGGGCGCAAGCCUGAUCCAGCCAUACCGCGUGGGUGAAGAAGGCCUUCGGGUUGUAAAGCACUUUUGUUGGGAAAGAAAAGCAGCAGGUUAAUACCCCGCUGUUCUGACGGUACCAAAAGAAUAAGCACCGGCUAACUUCGUG
rnacentral:rRNA from 1 species